UGCGGAGGAGGUUACCAUACUCUUACGGAAGGAAUGCAUAGAUUCGCCAGACAAAUUCAAUCGAAAUGCCCUUACAUCAAACUCUAACACAGUGGUACUAGCUUUCACCAAUCUCAAAUCCACUAUGUACAAUGGACAAUUAACAUUGACAAGCACCAGCGCAACACACAUGUACGUCAAUCCCAAUUUACCAGAAACGGACACACUCAUUACAAGAUUUGGUACCCAAUUUCACUCAAAAUCAUCACCAAAUGUGAUAAAUACUACAUUACAACGCUUAAAGAGCUCAGAUUUCUCUCAAAUAAUGG